rnacentral:rRNA from 1 species
AUUGAACGCUGGCGGAAUGCUUUACACAUGCAAGUCGAACGGCAGCACGGGGCAACCUGGUGGCGAGUGGCGAACGGGUGAGUAAUACAUCGGAACGUGCCCAAUCGUGGGGGAUAACGUAGCGAAAGUUACGCUAAUACCGCAUACGAUCUACGGAUCAAAGCGGGCGAUCGCAAGACCUCGCGCGAAUGGAGCGGCCGAUGUCAGAUUAGGUAGUUGGUGGGGUAAAGGCUCACCAAGCCAACGAUCCGUAGCUGGUCUGAGAGGAUGAUCAGCCACACUGGGACUGAGACACGGCCCAGACUCCUACGGGAGGCAGCAGUGGGGAAUUUUGGACAAUGGGGGCAACCCUGAUCCAGCCAUGCCGCGUGCAGGAUGAAGGCCUUCGGGUUGUAAACUGCUUUUGUACGGAACGAAAAGACUCUGGUUAAUACCUGGGUCCAUGACGGUACCGUAAGAAUAAGCACCAGCUAACUACGUGCCAGCCGCCGCGGUAAAAC